GACGAACGCUGGCGGCGUGCUUAAUACAUGCAAGUCGACUUGUCUUAAGGUAGCAAUAUCUUAAGAAGAGUGGCGCACGGGUGCGUAACGCGUAGGUAAUCUGCCUUUGGGUCUGCCAUAAUCCAGCGAAAGCUGGACUAAUAUCAGAUGAUGCAGCGGCACCACAUGGUGACAGUUGUUAAAGUUUCGACGCCCAAAGAUGAGCCUGCGUCCCAUUAGGUAGUUGGUAGAGUAAUAGCCUACCAAGCCAACGAUGGGUAGCUGGUCUGAGAGGACGAUCAGCCACACUGGAACUGAGACACGGUCCAGACUCCGUACGGAGCAGCAGUAAGGAUAUUGCUCAAUGGCCGAAAGGCUGAAGC
rnacentral:rRNA from 1 species